AAAACGUCCGUAGCCGGCUGAGUAAAUGCUUGGGUAAAUCGUGCCGCUUAACGGUACGAAUUCCGGGUAAACUGCUCAGCUUGAGAUCGGGAGAAGCUAGAGGUACUCCUGGGGUAGAGGUGAAAUUCUGUAAUCCUGGGGGGACCACCAGUGGCGAAGGCGUCUAGCUAGAACGAGUCUGACGGUGAGGGACGAAACCCUGGGGCGCAAACCGGAUUAGAUACCCGGGUAGUCCAGGGCGCAAACGCUGCUUGCUUGAUGUUAGCUGGGCUCCGAGCUCAGCUAGUGUCGGAGAGAAGUUGUUAAGCAAGCUGCCUGGGAAGUACGAUCGCAAGAUUGAAACUUAAAGGAAUUGGCGGGGGAGCACAGCAACGGGAGGAGCGUGCGGUUUAAUUGGAUUCAACGCCGGAAAACUCACCGGAGGCGACGGUUACAUGAAGGCCAGGCUGAUGACCUUGCCUGAUUUUCCGAGAGGUGGUGCAUGGCCGCCGUCAGUUCGUACCGUAAGGCGUUCUGUUAAGUCAGAUAACGAACGAGACCCUCAUUCUUAAUUGCAACUAAUAACUCCGGUUAUUGGGCACAUUAAGAAGACCGCUGGCGAUAAGUCAGAGGAAGGCGAGGGCAACGGUAGGUCAGUAUGCCCUGAAUCCUCCGGGCUACACGCGCGCUACAAAGGCCAGGACAAUGGGUUUCGACACUGAAAGGUGAAGGUAAUCUCGAAACCUGGUCAUAGUUCGGAUUGAGGGCUGAAACUCGCCCUCAUGAAGCUGGAUUCCGUAGUAAUCGCGGAUCGACAUCCCGCGGUGAAUAUGCCCCUGCUCCUUGCACACACCGCCCGUCAAACCAUGCGAGUUGGGUCUAAGUGAGGAUGUAGUAUUUUGCUGCGUUCAAACUUGGGCUUAGCAAGCGGGGUUAAGUCGUAACAAGGUAACCAA
rnacentral:rRNA from 1 species